GAAAGCUCUGUUGUUAAAGAAGAACGUGGGUAAGAGUAACUGUUUACCCAGUGACGGUAUUUAACCAGAAAGCCACGGCUAACUACGUGCCAGCAGCCGCGGUAAUACGUAGGUGGCAAGCGUUAUCCGGAUUUAUUGGGCGUAAAGCGAGCGCAGGCGGUCUUUUAAGUCUAAUGUGAAAGCCUUCGGCUCAACCGAAGAAGUGCAUUGGAAACUGGGAGACUUGAGUGCAGAAGAGGACAGUGGAACUCCAUGUGUAGCGGUGAAAUGCGUAGAUAUAUGGAAGAACACCAGUGGCGAAGGCGGCUGUCUGGUCUGCAACUGACGCUGAGGCUCGAAAGCAUGGGUAGCGAACAGGAUUAGAUACCCUGGUAGUCCAUGCCGUAAACGAUGAUUACUAAGUGUUGGAGGGUUUCCGCCCUUCAGUGCUGCAGCUAACGCAUUAAGUAAUCCGCCUGGGGAGUACGACCGCAAGGUUGAAACUCAAAAGAAUUGACGGGGGCCCGCACAAGCGGUGGAGCAUGUGGUUUAAUUCGAAGCUACGCGAAGAACCUUACCAGGUCUUGACAUCUUCUGACAGUCUAAGAGAUUAGAGGUUCCCUUCGGGGACAGAAUGACAGGUGGUGCAUGGUUGUCGUCAGCUCGUGUCGUGAGAUGUUGGGUUAAGUCCCGCAACGAGCGCAACCCUUAUUACUAGUUGCCAGCAUUAAGUUGGGCAC
rnacentral:rRNA from 1 species